GUGCUUGCUUCAGCAGCAUGUGUACUAAAACUGGAACAAUACAGGGAAGAUUUGCAUGGCCCCUGUGCAAGAGCCACUCACAAAUUCAUAAAUUGUUCCAUAUUUUU